CCGCCACUCUCCUCUUUCCGCCGCCUUCACGCUCGCUUCCUCCUCCAUCCUCCCGCGUCAGUCGCACCCCCUCCUCCCCUCCCGCAUCUCGUCCACCCUGGGAUCCAGCGAGGUCGGGUCCUCGAGCCAUGGAGGCACUUGUCGCUGGGCCCUCGCCGUUGGCCUCCCGUGCGUCGCACCGCCUCCUCCCGCCUCGGCUCUCACCUCCAGCUGCAGCUCUAGAGGAGAGGAGAAGACAGUGACAGAGAGAUGGCUGCGUUGGCGCUGGCGGCCCCGCCCUCGCCUUUUCCUCCUCCUCGCCUUCCCAUCGCUCAUGCGCAAGUCGACCGACGGCAGGGAUGGUCAGGAAGGUUUCCCAGCCCGACAGUGCCGUCAUGGGAGUUGCAGGGAGGAGGUGAGGAUGCGUCGCGCGCGGAUUGGAUCGAGGGUGCCAUGCCGCCGCCACGAGUCAACUCCACUGUUGUCACCAGGAAUCCGUCCCCAGCAAGGUCUCGCUCGUUGCUACUCCUCCUACAAUCUCUCCCACAAUGGCAUACAGGAGGAGCAGAAGGGGCCAAGGAUGAGGAGGAAGGAGACUAGCAGGAGGAGGAGAUAUUCUUGUUCGAUUUGGUUCUCACGCUGGCAUCUCCCUGCUGUCUGCUUUCCUUUUAGUUUCCAACUUUGAUGCUUGGAUUUGUUGACUUGGCCAGCAGGAGUGGGAGGAGACAGGGAGGAUGAGGAAGGAGACAAGCAAGAGGAAGAGAAAAUCUUGCUCGCCUUAUGGACUCGCAAUAAACAAGUGUGUGUUGGGCUACUCAUGCCUUUUUUAAUCUCACUAACAACGGUGUUGUACUGGAUCGAAUCAGAGGAAGCUCAUUUGCCUGUAUAUACAGAGGGUCGUCUUCUCCCCCCAUCCAAUACCUGCUAAGAGUUAUGAUUUUUCUUUGCUUCCAGGUCCACAGGAAAAAUUCCUGAACGAUUUUGGUAUCCCCAGAUUUUUCUUCCCCGCGAUGAGGUUAUACUUAGCCUACCCUCUGUCCCUGUGUGUGUAGAUUUGCAGAGAUCAGCGAGGAUUUGUGCGGCAGGGAGGGCACUGGUGAUAGGAAACAUGGGUCCAAGAAGUAAUCAAAGAGCAUGAUCGUUUCAAGGUUGCUGCUGCUAAAUCAUGUAAGGAUGGCGCAAAACUCACAUGAGGGAAAAGACGAACUGCGGUAACCAAAUCAACAGCUGAUAAGGCAAUUGGUUGGGCUACAUGAUAGACACUUUAAUAUAUCUUCUUGGAAGCCGCUUAGUGUUCCAAUGAAUAAUUGUCGCUGGUGUGGUGCACGUCUUCAUUGUUUGGUGGGCUGCUUCCUGCCUGGUGUGGUUGAAGAAUUUUCAGAGGUAUGGUCCAUCUUGCGUGCGGCCUUUAGUUUGAGUUUCUGUUGACACAUUAAAUUUCCCUUUCCUGUAGACCCCUCCUUUUUCAUUUUAUUAGUUGGGUGUAAUAGCAAAUCAUCUAUAAUCAUUUUGUUUAACUACAAUCUGAUGCAAAAGAGUUAUGUUUAGCUCUCAUAGUUCAUCCUUUAUAUGCUUGCUUUCAAAACAAAGAAAUCGGUUGUCCAAGUUCUGAUCAUGCUCUGAUUGAGAUUCAGUCCUCCUUGAUCUUUUUUCUGUAUGCUUGCAUCUCCUUAGCGUCCAAGUUCUGAUCAUGCUACAAUCUUGUUUCAAAUUUAUGCUAAUAGAUGUAUGUACCAUGAUUAUUGAGGUGUAUGAAAUAAAUCUGAAGAAAAUAAGUAAGUCGCCUUCAUCAGCGAGGCUGCGAACAACUCGUGGUGCCCCUGUUAACCUCCUCAAUGUUUGCGUUGUUUGCCUGUCGGUCAAAUUCCCACUAUUCAGCAGACAGAUACAGUGUCCAGAUCGUUUAGGAACCAGCGUUACUUCAAAAAAAGAUAGGACCUGAUACACAUUACAUUCAUGGACUACUGAUAUACCUGAUGCAUUUCUUCAUGAUGGUGAUAUUCCUAAUCAUUGCUGCUGACGCUGAAAAAAUACUCCUGAAGCACUAGAAGUGCCCUAUCAAUAAUAAUAGCAGGGGUUUGAGCUUGUUUAAACUGUAGAGUACACAUGCAUGUACUAUUUCUCAGACAUCAAGAGAACAUGAGAUAAACAUGUAUGACGGUCUAACACGUGAUUACUCAGGUGUUGAUUAGGAAGCACACAUAGGUUUGGCAGAGAGGAAGUUUCAGUCAUGCCAUUAGUGGGUCAACAGGGUAGGCAUUUUCAUGAGAUAAUAUUGAUUUUAAUGACGGCUAAUAAUUACACUGCUGCCUUGUUUCAGAAUCAAAACUCUGCUAUCUCUGGCCUUGCCUCUAGGGAAAAACAUGAGCUCAAAACUGAAAUACUCCAGAUUUACUUGCUAUCUUUUAGAAGUAAUAUUGUUCUAUUUGUUAAGGUUCACUUGGAAGUGGUUGAGGUAGCCUGACCUGAUGAGGAUUCAGCUGAGGAACUGACCUGGUGACGUGAUGCAUACAGGGCAGGAAGCAAAUCUUAUGCAUGAGGGAGUAGAUCUUGCAAUUGAAGUCAUAUCUCCUGCAGAGGAGGAGCAACGAUGGGGUGGAAGCUACAGGGUGAGUGAGAGAGUGCAGAAGGAGGGGAUGGAUAAGGUCAUGUCGUCAGCAAGAAGUGGAUGCUAUCAAGAUCAUGCCAAAGGCGAUGCUCAUUCCCGUUCUUAGUGAGAUGGGUUUACUCGAUGCAAAGUAUGAGCAUUGCAGACUCUGGCGAGCUGCUGAAGGUCGACGAGGAGGGCAACGCCGCCACCGUCAUCAGGCUGGUCCACAUCCACGCGCUGCUCGGCGUCACCAGGUCACUGGCACAACUCCGCAUGCCCAGGCUGUUCAACAUUUUCUUUCGCUUUUGGUGUGUCACAUUUAGAGUCUUUCUUUCCCAUUUUACCAUGUUUGCAUGGUAAGAUGUUUUGUUGGAUUUGAAGGUUCGUAGCCUUGGCUCCAAAGCUUCAAGCUCUUGCAUAAUAGUGUUGUUCAGUGGGAUGCAGAAUUUUUGUUUGUCUGAUCGGCUAUCCUUGGUGCUGAUUUACGUACUGAUUUCAUCAUCAUAUAUAACUACAAUAAAGAAGCUGUGUGCAUAAAUAUUACUAACUGCUGAUACUUUGCAUCAGUGAUUUCAAUUCUGUUGGCCCUCCUU